rnacentral:rRNA from 1 species
UGCCAGCCGCCGCGGUACUACUUAUUGGGCUAUCGUUUUUCGGAAUUAUUGGGCGUAAAGGGCGCGCAGGCGGUCUUGUCCGUCAGGUGUGAAAGCUCGGGGCUCAACCCCGGAAGUGCACUUGAAACAGCAAGACUUGAAUACGGUAGAGGAGAGAGGAAUUCCUGGUGUAGAGGUGAAAUUCGUAGAUAUCAGGAGGAACACCGAUGGCGAAGGCAUCUCUCUGGGCCGAUAUUGACGCUGAGGCGCGAAGGCGUGGGGAGCCAACGGGAUUAGAUA